GCUGGACUGCCUCCUCAUCAGCGAUUGAAUCUUCCAUCAAGUUCUGAAGAAUUAAGCUCAAUAUAUGGGAGCAGAUCACAUGGUCAAGUGGUGGAGGAACUAGAAGAGGACUUCUACGAAGAGGAUUUUGAUCCAGUUAGACACAUUUUAGAGCAUAUUCCAUCUGAAGAAAAUGAGUUGGACCAUUUUGAGAAACAGGCUGCUCUUAGGUUAGCACAAUUGGAUAGAGUAUCAGAACGUUUAUCCC
rnacentral:misc_RNA from 1 species